UUCCGGUUGAUCCCGCCGGACCCGACUGCUAUUUGGGUGAGGAUAAACCAUGCGAGUUGAAUGGGAUACCUAAAUAUCCCAUAGCAAACUGCUCAGUAACACAUGAUCAACUUACCCUAUGGAGAAAAAUAACCUCGGGAAACUGAGGAUAAUGUUUCAUAGUUGAAUAGGCUUGGAAAAGUUUUUCAAUGAAAGGGGUAAGAAAAAUGGUUCUUAUUUGCCAUAGGAUAGGAUCGUGGUCGAUUAUGGUUGUUGGUGAGGUAACGGCUCACCAAGCCGAUAAUCGAUAGGGGCCGUGAGAGCGGGAGCCCCGAGAUGGGUACUGAGACAACGACCCAGGCCUUACGAGGCGCAGCAGGUGCGGAACCUCCGCAAUACACGAAAGUGUGACGGGGUUACCCAAAGUGUUCAUUAUUGAACUGUGGUAGGUGAGUAAUGUCCCCUACUAGAAAGGAGAGGGCAAGGCUGGUGCCAGCCGCCGCGGUAAAACCAGCUCUUCAAGUGGUCGGGAUGAUUAUUGGGCUUAAAGUGUCCGUAGCCGGUUUAGUAAGUUCCUGGUAAAAUCGGGUAGCUUAACUAUCCGUAUGCUAGGAAUACUGCUAUACUAGAGGGCGGGAGAGGUCUGAGGUACUAUAGGGGUAGGGGUGAAAUCCUAUAAUCCUUAUAGGACCACCAGUGGCGAAGGCGUCAGACUGGAACGCGCCUGACGGUGAGGGACGAAAGCCAGGGGAGCGAACCGGAUUAGAUACCCGGGUAGUCCUGGCCGUAAACGAUGCAUACUAGGUGAUGGCACGGCCAUGAGCCGUGUCAGUGCCGUAGGGAAACCGUUAAGUGUGCCGCCUGGGAAGUACGGUCGCAAGGCUAAAACUUAAAGGAAUUGGCGGGGGAGCACCACAAGGGGUGAAGCCUGCGGUUCAAUUGGAUUCAACGCCGGGAAUCACUAGUGCGGC
rnacentral:rRNA from 1 species